CACCUCGAUGUCGGCUCAUCGCAUCCUGGGGCUGAAGUAGGUCCCAAGGGUUGGGCUGUUCGCCCAUUAAAGCGGUACGCGAGCUGGGUUCAGAACGUCGUGAGACAGUUCGGUCCCUAUCUGUCGUGGGCGUAGGAAAUUUGAGAGGAGCUGUCCUUAGUACGAGAGGACCGGGAUGGACGUACCGCUGGUGCACCAGUUGUUCCGCCAGGAGCACGGCUGGGUAGCUAAGUACGGAAGGGAUAAGCGCUGAAAGCAUCUAAGCGUGAAGCCCCCCUCAAGAUGAGAUUUCCCAAUUAGUAAGACCCCUUGAAGACGACGAGGUAGAUAGGUUGGAGGUGGAAGUGCAGCAAUGCAUGGAGCUGACCAAUACUAAUCGGUCGAGGGCUUAUCCUA
rnacentral:ncRNA from 1 species